GGAUAGCUAGGCAUUGGUAAGCCGACCUACUUGCUACGUAGUAGCCUCUGUGCUCUCAGCGUUCGAUUCGCUGGUUAUCCG
rnacentral:tRNA from 1 species